AUUGAACGCUGGCGGCAGGCCUAACACAUGCAAGUCGAGCGGAUGAAGGGAGCUUGCUCCUGGAUUCAGCGGCGGACGGGUGAGUAAUGCCUAGGAAUCUGCCUGGUAGGGGGGGAUAACGUCCGGAAACGGGCGCUAAUACCGCAUACGUCCUGAGGGAGAAAGUGGGGGAUCUUCGGAACUCACGCUAUCAGAUGAGCCUAGGUCGGAUUAGCUAGUUGGUGGGGUAAAGGCCUACCAAGGCGACGAUCCGCAACUGGUCUGAGAGGAUGAUCAGUCACACUGGAACUGAGACACGGUCCAGACUCCUACGGGAGGCAGCAGUGGGGAAUAUUGGACAAUGGGCGAAAGCCUGAUCCAGCCAUGCCGCGUGUGUGAAGAAGGUCUUCGGAUUGUAAAGCACUUUAAGUUGGGAGGAAGGGCAGUAAGUUAAUACCUUGCUGUUUUGACGUUACCAACAGAAUAAGCACCGGCUAACUUCGUG
rnacentral:rRNA from 1 species